CCAGACCCUAUUAACGGCGGACUGGUGAGUAACGCGUGGGUGAUCUACCUUGAGGACUGGGGAUAGCUGUUAGAAAUAGCAGGUAAUACCGAAUACGUUGGAGGAGCUAUGGCACCUCCAAGAAAGGCGCUAAGGCGCCGACUUGAGAUGAGCCCGCGUCCCAUUAGCUAGUUGGUGUAGUAAAGGUGCACCAAGGACUCAGAUGGGUAGCCGGCCUGAGAGGGUGAACGGCCACACUGGGACUGAGAUACGGCCAGACUCCUACGGGAGGCAGCAGCUAAGAAUAUUCCGCAAUGGACGAAAGUCUGACGAGAGCGACGCCGCGUGGAUGAGGAAGGCCGAAAGGUAUGUAAAAUCCUUUAUGCACGACGAAGAAUAAUCACUUUAGCGGACAUGAUACGUGAGAUGACGUUAA
rnacentral:rRNA from 1 species